GACGAACGCUGGCGGCGUGCUUAACACAUGCAAGUCGAACGAGAAUCUGUGGAUCGAGGAUUCGUCCAAGUGAAGCAGAGGACAGUGGCGGACGGGUGAGUAACGCGUGAGGAACCUGCCUUUCAGAGGGGGACAACAGUUGGAAACGACUGCUAAUACCGCAUGAUACGUAUUGGGGGCAUCCCUGAGACGUCAAAGAUUUAUCGCUGAAAGAUGGCCUCGCGUCUGAUUAGCUGGUUGGUGAGGUAACGGCCCACCAAGGCGACGAUCAGUAGCCGGACUGAGAGGUUGAACGGCCACAUUGGGACUGAGAUACGGCCCAGACUCCUACGGGAGGCAGCAGUGGGGAAUAUUGGGCAAUGGGGGAAACCCUGACCCAGCAACGCCGCGUGAAGGAAGAAGGCUUUCGGGUUGUAAACUUCUUUUACCAGGACGAAGGACGUGACGGUACCUGGAGAAAAAGCCACGGCUAACUACGUG
rnacentral:rRNA from 1 species